CCGGCAAUGACAUUCCUGGUUUCCUCUUCGCUCUAGCUGGAGCCAACCCUUUAGGCAGCGCAGUCAUGGGAAAGCUCGCAGCCUCAGACAUAGCACUGUGACCUGGGUCAGAACAUGCCCUGUGGCACUCAAGGGCAGAGGGCAGGCUCUGCUGGAGACCCAUUGGGACAGCAGAGCUGGACAAACAGGCCAAAGGAAAGAGAAGCAUCCCGAAAAGAGGCUGUGGUCGUGAGAGGGAGGGGUGGGCAAGGGUAGAUGAUACCUGCUGAAGAGAUGAUCUUUUGUUUCAGGAGAACCACAGAGCAGAUGACAUGAGAGGACUGAUGGGACAGUUUACAGCCAGGGGAAGGGGACUUAGAGAUCCUUAUCCUGCCUGUCCUCAUACCAGGAACUAUGGAAUGCUUACCUCUUCCCUCCUGGCCUUUCCCCCACCUCCUGCUGUUGAAAUAAGCAGAGAGGUCUGUGGGGAGAAGGAAGUGGAAACAGCCUACAACGUGCCUUUGGCCCCAUUUUCCACAAGCUAAAGCCCUCGGGUUCUGGAUAUAGACUGGUGUCUUGGCCAGAAUUAAGGGAGUUAAGAAAACUUCCAGGCUGGGGACUGAGUAAAGAAGAAUUCAGGAGAUCAGUAGGGCUCAAGAGAGACCAGCAGCCUUCUCUCUCACAAAACAACAGGCAGCAAGGGAUACAACUUCUUUCAAAAGGAAAUGAUCACCCAGCAGAGGGUUUCUGUCCCUUACAAACAACUUUCCAGGAAGGGAUCAAAGAACUGCUGAGUUAGACCAAGGCUGGGUGAGUAUCACAGCAGGGUUGGCCAGGAGCAGACUCACCAUAGCCAUCCCCGCCUGGUCCAGCAGAUGAGCCCAGAGCGGGGACACAAGGACAACAUGGAACUUUUGCCGCUAUGCUAAAACAAGUUCUCUGUCCCAGUACUGUAGAGGAAGGGUAAGUAACGGGGCAAGGUUAUUUGCUUGAUGAGCUGACGAACUAUAAUUAAUACCUGUACAUGGGCACACAGACUCAGAAGGGACCUGAGUAGCCCAAGGGUACCUCCUCAUCCUGGAGAAGCAGCAGGAACCAGGACUGGUACCAUACAUGUCAGCCUCCAAGCCCAGGACUGAUGACCUCAAAGUCAGGGGCCCAAGCCAGGCACGGUGGAACACAACUCUGAUGCCAGCAUUUGGAAGGGAGGAGAGGCAGGAGAAUCAGGAGUUCAAAGCCAUCCUUGGCUACAUCGUGGCAUGCAGCCAGCUUGGGUUAUAUACUAAUUAGCAUUCUCUGGAGAAACGGGCACUAUGGGAUGAAUU
rnacentral:lncRNA from 1 species